rnacentral:rRNA from 1 species
GACGUAGGGUCCAAGCGUUAUCCGGAUUUACUGGGCGUAAAGAGCGCGUAGGCGGUCUGUUAAGUGUAGAGUGAAAUCUCUGGGCUCACCCCAGAAACUGCUCUGCAUACUGGCAGACUUGAGGGAUGCAGAGGUUUGUGGAAUUCCUGGUGUAGCGGUGAAAUGCGUUGAUAUCAGGAGGAACACCCAUGGCGAAGGCAGCAAACUGGGCAUCAUCUGACGCUGAGGCGCGAAAGCGUGGGUAGCAAACAGG